GGUGAACCUGCGGAAGGAUCAUUACCGAGUGCGGGCCUUCGUGGCCCACCUUCCCACCCUUGUCUCUCUACACCUGUUGCUUUGGCGGGCCCACUGGGGCUCCCUGGUCGCCGGGGGACGCCUGUCCCCGGGCCCGCGCCCGCCGAAGCGCUUCGUGAACCCUGAUGAAGAAGGGCUGUCUGAGUACUAUGAAAAUUGUCAAAACUUUCAACAAUGGAUCUCUUGGUUCCGGCAUCGAUGAAGAACGCAGCGAAAUGCGAUAAGUAAUGUGAAUUGCAGAAUUCCGUGAAUCAUCGAAUCUUUGAACGCACAUUGCGCCCCCUGGCAUUCCGGGGGGCAUGCCUGUCCGAGCGUCAUUUCUGCCCUCAAGCACGGCUUGUGUGUUGGGUGUGGUCCCCCCGGGGACCUGCCCGAAAGGCAGCGGCGACGUCCGUCUGGUCCUCGAGCGUAUGGGGCUCUGUCACUCGCUCGGGAGGGACCUGCGGGGGUUGGUCACCACCACAUUUUCUAUUAUGGUUGACCUCGGAUCAGUAGAAUUAGA
rnacentral:rRNA from 1 species